rnacentral:misc_RNA from 1 species
UUAUGGGAGCAUGGAGAAAUUAAGUAUUUUUUGGGUUGUUUGAAAGGCAAUUCUGAUAUAGAUAAUGAAUAUAAAUUGUUACAAGGAACUCGUUGGGGCAGACAAGUGCUAGUGAAGAAAAGGCAAAGUUGUAUUAAAAUGUAUGAUAUAGUGGUGUGAUAUAUGCAUACAGAGAAUUGGAACCGUGAAUGAUGUUUAACUAUUGAUAAUCACUGUAAAAAGAAUAACUUACUCAUAGAUGCUUUUUGUAUAUAUUGUUCUGGAAUGAGUGCAACAGUUGCCUUUGCAUUGAUUGACUAAGAAACUUAGGGUGCUUACUUAUUUUAUCGAUUCACUCUGGGAAUUUGUUAGGUAGCAGCAAGGUUGGUUGUUGAAGCCUCGGGGCAUAUAUGUUGUUGGCAUACCUCCAAUAUAAUUGUUGUUGCAUUUAUUACUUUUACCGCAAUAUUAACAUGA